rnacentral:lncRNA from 1 species
AGGGUUGUUUCUAUUCCAAGCUUCAACGAGAUGAAGACCAAACCACGGUAGAUCACCAAGUGGCAAAAGCAGAAUACCAGCCUCAGCAAAUAUCUAAACCGGAAUACUAUUACAGCAGACCAGAUCAUAAUCCAAAUCUGGACUUCUACAGAAAUGAAAGAAAGUCUGAACCAGAUGGUGAUUAUAUAGAAAACAUUCUAGAAAAAUGGUUUGGUGAUUACCAGAAGCUGGAACGUCAUCAUGGCUAUAUCCAGUGGUUGUUUCCCAACAGAGUUGCAGGUUUGAACAGACAGGCUUUCUGUCUCAAUGAUUAUGAGAUUCAGGUAAAUAUUCAGGUAGUGCUAUUGUUGUUGUG